rnacentral:lncRNA from 1 species
UUUAUUUCUUUUUCUUGUUUUUCUCUUCACGUUACAAAUCUCAUGAAUUGGCUGUGUAUAUAUAUACACAUACCAGCCAUAACAUUGACCGACUCGAGACCUUACUCGUACCUGCUUUGGACUCCAGAAGCAACACGGACAAAACCCAACAAAGGCAAACUCCUAGCCUAAUAGGAACACUACUACUAGGACACGCGAAGUCACUUUUCUAAACUAAUCAACCGGCAACGCUGAUCGCACUUCAUACUAAUCCGAAUAGGACUCAAACAUGACUAUACGUACUGGUAAUCUCAAACUUACCUAAUUUAUCUUAACUUAUGUUUGGAUUACCUAAUGUUGAGUAUAUAUGUGUUAUGUGCAUAUUGUGUAUUGGGCCCGUCUUCUAGUUUCUUGUAUAGUUGAGGUCUGUGAUCCACCUUUGUACAUCAUAUAUACGUACCUAUGCACGAAAAGUAAUACAUCAUGCAAUUCACAUAUUUCAUGGUAUCAGUUUUUAGGUUUUAAACCCUAGUUUUCCGCUGCUGCCGCUGCCGCACACCUUCUCCGCGCCCCCGCCGCCACCCAUCCACCGCCACCGCCCGCGCGUCAACCGCGCCGGCCGCGGCUACCCUUUCACAUGCGUGCUUCUCUAGCCGCCGCUAGCCACGCGCGCUACUAGCACGUCCGCUGCCCGCUGCUAGCCACUUUCAUACGUGGAUUCAUCAUUCUCUUAAUACGUUCAAAAGUCAAAGGUAUGCUAGCCAUUAUCUACAACAUGAAGAUUGCGCGGUCUCCAUCUAGUGGCUUGAUAUAGGUGCUGGCAGCCGCACGCCGCGUCGUCCGAUCCAUCGCGCCAGCCACCAAGUUGCUUCGCUGCCGCAUCGCUCGAUCUGCUGCGUGCCCGAGCUGCUGCUGCCGCCGCGCGAUCCAUCCAAGCCCGCGUUCCCGAGUUGCUGCUGCCGCCGCGCGAUCCAUCCAAAGCCGCCACGCGAAUCUCCGUCGUCGGACCAGCGAUGGCGUCAACCGGCCCGUCCACCGCCGCCUCUGUCGUCCCGCCGCCGGCACCCUUUGGCGCGGCUCCGCCGCCGGCGCCCUACGGCGCAGCCCUGUCGCCGUAUGGGGCGGCCGCCACCUACGGCGCGUCCGUCGUCGCCCCGCCGCCGGUGCCCUUCGGCUCUUCGUCCCCCUCGUCGGCCCUGCCGUCGGUGCCCUGGGACCCGGCGCUCCUCAUCGGGCUUCAUGCCGCUCAUACGCCGACGAACUACACUGGAGGUGGUGAUUGGUACAUGGACACCAGUGCAACGGCUCACAUGUUUGCUCAUCCUGGUAACCUUGCCUCCUUCACUCCUGUCUCUACCGACCGCCGCAUCAUUGUCGGCGACGGUUCCACACUUCCUAUAACACAUGUUGGGCACACUUCUUUUCCUUCUACUUCUACUUCAUUAUCUUUGUCUAACAUACUUGUGUCACCUCAUCUUAUUAAGAAUCUCAUUUUCGUUCGUUGUUUCACUCUGAAAAUCCUGUUACCGUUGAAUUUGACGAGCUUGGUUUUUGUGUCAAAGACGCUCGCACCAGGAUGGUACUUCGCCGAUGUGACGGCCCCGACAAGCUCUAUCUGGUGCACUCGCCUUCAUCCACCACCAUCGCACCGGUUGCUCUCUCCGCUGGCGUCGAUCUCUGGAACGCUCGCUUGGGUCAUCCCAACCCCGUCACACUUCGUCAUAUUUUUAGGAGUUUCAGUUUCAGUUGCAAUAAAAUCAAGAAUCACACUUGUCAUGCAUGUCGAGUCGGCAAACAUGUUCGUCUGCCGUUUACUAAUUCCACCACCAUUGCUUCUUUUCCUUUUCAGUUGAUUCAUAGCGAUGUGUGGACUUCUCCGGUUCCCAGUAACUCGGAUUAUUUAUAUUAUCUGGUCAUUCUCGAUGAUUAUUCUCAUUAUGUAUGGACUUUUCCUUUGUGUAGAAAGUCGGAUGCACUCUCUACCUUGGCGUCCUUUUUCUCCUAUGUCCGCACGCAGUUUGGGCAUCCCAUCAUUGUGCUUCAGACGGACAAUGGAAAAGAGUUCGACAACCUUGCUUUCCGCACCUUUUUGUCGCAUCACGGCACAGUUUUCCGCCUCACAUGCCCGUACACUUCACAGCAGAACGGUCGAGCCGAACGCGUCCUUCGCACUUUGAAUGACUGCGUUCGCACGCUCCUGUUUCAUGCCAACAUGUCGCCUCAUUUCUGGCCGAACGCACUCGCCACUACAUCAGUUCUUCUUAACAUUAGACCCUGCUGCCCACGGUGUAACUACGCACCUCACCAUCUUCUUUUUGGUAUGCCCCCGUCUUAUGACGACUUGCGUAUUUUUGGGUGCCUUUGCUAUCCCAGCACUGCCGACACUGCUUCUCACAAGCUUGCACAUCGAUUUGUCGCUUGCAUCUUCAUCGGCCACCCCUCCAACUCCAAGGGAUAUCGGUGCUACGAUCCCGUCUCCCACCGUGUGUUCAGUUCCCGGCACGUUUACUUUGAUGAGCAUGUGUUUCCGUUUCACCAGGUACCCCCGGCUGUUCCUCCCGUCACUGAUAACGCNNNNNNNNNNNNNNNNNNNNNNNNNNNNNNNNNNNNNNNNNNNNNNNNNNNNNNNNNNNNNNNNNNNNNNNNNNNNNNNNNNNNNNNNNNNNNNNNNNNNNNNNNNNNNNNNNNNNNNNNNNNNNNNNNNNNNNNNNNNNNNNNNNNNNNNNNNNNNNNNNNNNNNNNNNNNNNNNNNNNNNNNNNNNNNNNNNNNNNNNNNNNNNNNNNNNNNNNNNNNNNNNNNNNNNNNNNNNNNNNNNNNNNNNNNNNNNNNNNNNNGGUUGGUCCGGUCACCCGCGCCCGUACGGGCAUUUUUCGCCCGAGCUCACGCUACGCCUCGGAUGACUACGUCCAUGCGGCGUCCACCACUGAGUUUUCGCCGUUGCUGUCCUCCGUUCAAGCCGCUCUUCGUGACCCGCUCUGGAUGGCUGCAAUGCAAGAGGAGUUUGAUGCCCUGUUGCGCCACCGGACGUGGCAGCUUGUUCCCCGUCCCCAGCACGCCAACGUGAUUACCGGGAAAAGGGUGUUUAAACACAAGCUCCGUCCUGAUGAUACCCUUGAUCGCUACAAAGCACGAUGGGUCGUUCGUGGCUUCCGACAGCGUGCUGGCAUCGACUUCACCGACACCUUCGCUCCGGUCGUCAAGCCCGGCACGAUACGCACGGUUCUCCACCUUGCGGCCUCCCGUGCUUGGCCGGUGCACCAGAUGGACGUCUCCAACGCCUUCCUCCAUGGCCACCUUGAGGAGCAUGUCUUCUGCCAGCAGCCCACCGGGUUUGUUGACCCGGCGCUUCCCGACCACGUGUGCAUGCUUUCGCGGUCCUUGUACGAACUCAAGUAGGCUCCGCGCGCUUGGUACCAGCUCAUCGCGGCGCUUCUCCACCAGUUUGAGUUCCGCUCUACCUGAUCGGACGCCUCGCUCUUCGUCUAUCAUCAGGGCUCUGACACAGCCUACUUGUUGCUCUAUGUCAACGACAUCAUCCUGACGGCAUGUAUGGCUGAUCUCCUCAGUCAGCUCACGGCUCGUCUUCGCGCUGAGUUCGCCAUCAAGGACUUGGGUCCUUUGCGCUACUUCCUCGGUGUCGAGGUGGUGCGCCAUCCGGAUGGCUUCUUCCUUCAUCAGAGGAAGUACGCUCACGAGCUCCUCGAGUGUGCCGGCAUGCUUAACUGCAAGCCCGCCGCUAUGCCUGUCGAUACGAAGGCCAAGCUUUCGGCCACGGACGGUUCUCCUGCUUCGGAUGUUGCUUUCUAUCGGUCUAUCAUUGGUGCUCUCCAGUACCUCACUCUGACUCGACCGGAGAUCCAGUAUGCUGUGCAGCAGGUGUAUCUUCAUAUGCAUGCUCCUCGAGACGUUCACUGGGUUGUCGUCGUCGUCCAAGCGGCAGCCUACGGUCUCUCUUUCUAGUGCUGAGGCUGAGUAUCGUGCGGUGGCCAACGCCGUCGCCGAGUAUUCGUGGCUUCGCCAGCUGCUUCAGGAGCUCUCUUGCCCUGUUGACCGUGCCACAGUGGUCUACUGCGACAACGUCUCGGCGGUCUACCUCUCCGCUAACCCGGUGCAUCAUCGACGGACCAAGCAUAUUGAGUUGGAUAUUUAUUUUGUUCGGGAACAGGUGGCCCUUGGCCAUAUUCGCGUUUUGCACGUCCAUACUUCCCAACAAUUUGCCGAUAUCAUGACCAAGGGCUUGCCUACAGCGUCAUUUGAGGAGUUCUGGUCCAGUCUUUGCGUCAGCCGCGGUGCCGCUUCGACUGCGGGGGGAUGUUGAGUAUAUGUGUUAUGUGAAUAUUGUGUAUUGGGCCCGCCUCCUAGUUCUUUGUAGAGUUGAGGUCUGUGGCCCACCUUUGUACAUCAUAUAUACGUGCCUAUGCAUGAAGAGCAAUACAUCGUGCAAUUCACAUAUUGUACACCUGACAAUCACCCUCUAAUCCAAACAUUCGACUUUUUACUUGAUGAGACACGCAGAUGAUCACCUCUUCAUCUUGUCCCACUGAUUGCCUCCGGUGACGCGACUUACCAGAUCACAACUUCGCUCUUCUUGCAAUGAUGAUCACCACUGCAACAUCAUCUUUUUUGUUCAUGCCGACUUGUAGAUUGGACCAACGAUUACCUGGACUACCAGCCACGCUGUCACAUCUUAGCGUGCUACAUGCAGACUAAACACAUAGCCUCAUGUAGGAACUCAACUUAACUGGUCCGUGUCCAUCUUCACGUUGAUCUUCGUCUUCUCAUCGGUUGCUCGCACACGGAGAGACACAACUCUUCACCCGCCACAUCUUUACAUCUUUCCUUUGUCGUUGGUGACACAACUUACCAAAUGACGCUUCACGUCCGACGGCAUCACAACUCGCCAUAUAUGUGCAACUCAACUUCACCGUAUAUGAACUCGCCGGAACUCCUUGAUCACAAACGGAAAAGCAAGGCACGAAUUCUUUUUUUCCGCCCGCUCUCGCUCGCAAUUCUCCUUCGCCAGUGAAUCAUCUGAACUGUAGCAGAAGACUCACACACCUGAGCUCUUGGACGCACCUUACAAGAACUCAUGUGCACACCUAGACGACAGCUCGCAACUUUGUCGCCUCUUCCUCGCUCCUCCGAACGAUGAUCUUGAUGAUUUUCUAGGUGUCGCAACUUCGGCACCUCCAUAACCAUCAACGAUCACCAACGCCCUUCCGACGACAGCCCUGUGUCCCUCCUCCAGGUAGUUCCGUCGAACGACAAUCACCCGUCUUCUCGUCGUCGCUCCGCCGAACGACAACCGCCCAAUUCCUCCACAUCGUUGCACCCCCAACGACUAAAUCGCCCGCUCCUCGUCGCUGCACCACCUAGCGACUAUAUCGCCCGCCCCGAGGUGCUAGUCGGGUCGCCACCCCGGGGCAAGCGCGCGGCUUGAAAUCGACCUUGCUCUAGAUACCAAUUGUUGAAACUUCGCCCACAGAAUCGAUCACAUCAAAUUACGAUGAACACACGCGCACAAAAAUUGAUAGCCAAGGGCCCGUAUCGUGCCUUUUGUUUUCCUCUUUAUUUCUUUUUCUUGUUUUUCUUUUCACGUUACAAAUCUCAUGACCUGGCUGUGUAUAUAUAUACACAUACCAGCCAUAACAUUGACCGACUCGAGACCUUACUCGUACUUACUUUGGACUCCAGAAGCAACACGAAGACAGCCCAACAAAGGCAAACUCCUAGCCUAAUAGGAACACUACUACUAGGACACGCGAAGUCACUUUCCUAAACUAAUCAACCAGGAACGCUGAUCGCACUUCAUACUAAUCCAAAUAGGACUCAAACAUGACUAUAUGUACUGGUAAUCUCAAACUUACCUAAUUCAUCAUAACUUAUGUUUGGAUUAC